GAUGAACGCUGGCGGCGUGCCUAAUACAUGCAAGUCGAGCGAACAGACGAGGAGCUUGCUCCUCUGACGUUAGCGGCGGACGGGUGAGUAACACGUGGAUAACCUACCUAUAAGACUGGGAUAACUUCGGGAAACCGGAGCUAAUACCGGAUAAUAUAUUGAACCGCAUGGUUCAAUAGUGAAAGACGGUUUUGCUGUCACUUAUAGAUGGAUCCGCGCCGCAUUAGCUAGUUGGUAAGGUAACGGCUUACCAAGGCGACGAUGCGUAGCCGACCUGAGAGGGGGAUCGGCCACACUGGAACGGAGACACGGUCCAGACUCCUAAGGGAGGCAGCAGUAGGGAAUCUUCCGCAAUGGGCGAAAGCCUGACGGAGCAACGCCGCGUGAGUGAUGAAGGUCUUCGGAUCGUAAAACUCUGUUAUUAGGGAAGAACAAAUGUGUAAGUAACUAUGCACGUCUUGACGGUACCUAAUCAGAAAGCCACGGCUAACUACGUG
rnacentral:rRNA from 1 species